rnacentral:ncRNA from 2 species
GGACGAACCCUUGGAGAGAUCCAAUGUGCAAUGCACAAAAUGGACGCCGAAGGCGCAAAAGAGCGGUGUUUUUUACUGCUUUUCAAACGCUCAGGCAAAAGGACAGGGGCAAAAGA